CUAGAAUGAAGUUGGCUGGACAUAAAGUUUACUGGACCUCAAGUAGUCUGUGUCACCCGACGGGAGUCAGAAACGUCAUUUUUGUGCGGACCGGCGACUCGACGGACCCCGGCCGAGGACGCCGCUCGAACCGCGGUUGCGGAGGAGCGCGCCGAUACGAGUCGGAGACGGCUCGUACAGUCGGCGCACGAGAGCGGUCCGGACGAAGACAUUCGGGAACCGAGGACGAAGACGCUCGUCGACUGCGGACGAAGACACCGGUCGACGCGCGAGGAAGAUGCUCCGGAACACGGGAAGAACGCCACACUCCCGAGUGCGGGAAGACACUCGUCAACGCAGAAGGAGACACGCAUCAAUGUCGGGCCGGCGUGAUUGUUUUAAAGACGAUUUAACGUGUAAAAUGAAUGUACGUGUUGUUUGUAACGAUUGUUAUAAUGUUUGUAGUAUUGUUUUUAGAGACCGACUCUGCGAAGACGGAGGAAGUCGAUACAUGUCGAGAAUGAAUUUAUUGAAGAUGUUGCCUGUGAUCACUAGGUGUUUGCACUAAUUUGGGGAGAUGAUUACGAUCGUAGAACGUCACGGAAUGCGGCGCGCACGUCAUUUGUGGCGGGACGCAUCCGUAAAUAACGGCAGCAUAAAUACGAGAGAACGCGGUGGCGGCGGCGGGGAAGUGCGCCUUUUGAAAGUAAAAGAACGGGGGAGAUCGGACCGACAUAGAUGGUGUUGUUGUGGUAACCGAUAAGAAUGGAGAAAUGAUGACUAUUUGGUGGGUUUUUUAGGACAGAGAGAGUAGUUAUAUAUUAGUGAAGAUAUAAAGUAAAAGGUGAUAAGGAUGGUGGUGGGGGGGGGACAACGAAUGAUAUAUUUUGUAGGGUAUUAAAGGAAUUGACUCGUCAGUGCCGAGUCGGCGUAAUUGUGAGAAACGGAUGCGACGGGGAUUGUAAAGAAGUCGCGCGGUAGAGGAAUUGGCGGAAGCGACGAUCGCAAUAACCUUUCGACGUGGGACGGACGACGACGAAUUUAGUAAAUGGCGGUUUAGGAAAGGGUCGUACGUAAAGCGGCGGGUGCGG